GAUGAACGCUGGCGGCGUGCUUAACACAUGCAAGUCGAACGGAAAGGCCCCUGCUUGCAGGGGUACUCGAGUGGCGAACGGGUGAGUAACACGUGGGUGACCUGCCCUGCACUUCGGGAUAAGCUUGGGAAACUGGGUCUAAUACCGGAUAGGACCACAUUUUGGAUGGUGUGGUGGAAAGUUUUUCGGUGUGGGAUGAGCUCGCGGCCUAUCAGCUUGUUGGUGGGGUAAUGGCCUACCAAGGCGUCGACGGGUAGCCGGCCUGAGAGGGUGUACGGCCACAUUGGGACUGAGAUACGGCCCAGACUCCUACGGGAGGCAGCAGUGGGGAAUAUUGCACAAUGGGCGCAAGCCUGAUGCAGCAACGCCGCGUGGGGGAUGACGGCCUUCGGGUUGUAAACUCCUUUCGCUAGUGACGAAGCGCAAGUGACGGUACCUGGAGAAGAAGCACCGGCUAACUACGUG
rnacentral:rRNA from 1 species